rnacentral:rRNA from 1 species
UACGUAGGGCGCAAGCGUUAUCCGGAAUUAUUGGGCGUAAAGAGCUCGUAGGCGGUUUGUCGCGUCUGCCGUGAAAGUCCGGGGCUCAACUCCGGAUCUGCGGUGGGUACGGGCAGACUAGAGUGAUGUAGGGGAGACUGGAAUUCCUGGUGUAGCGGUGAAAUGCGCAGAUAUCAGGAGGAACACCGAUGGCGAAGGCGGUUCUCUGGGCAUUACCUGACGCUGAGGAGCGAAAGUGUGGGGAGCGGACAGG